rnacentral:rRNA from 1 species
UACGUAGGGCGCAAGCGUUGUCCGGAAUUAUUGGGCGUAAAGAGCUCGUAGGCGGCCUGUUACGUCUGCUGUGAAAUCCCGGGGCUUAACCCCGGGCGUGCAGUGGAUACGGGCAGGCUGGAGGCAGGCAGGGGAGAACGGAAUUCCCGGUGUAGCGGUGAAAUGCGCAGAUAUCAGGAGGAACACCUGUGGUGUAGACAGCUUACUGGACCAUUUCUGACGCUGAGACACGAAAGCGUGGGUAGCAAACAGG